CACGUAGGGGCCAAGCGUUGUCCGGAUUCAUUGGGCGUAAAGAGCUCGUAGGCGGUUCAGUCAGUCGGGUGUGAAAUCUCCGGGCUCAACCCGGAGGGGCCACCCGAUACUGCUGUGACUCGAGUCCGGUAGGGGAGUGGGGAAUUCCUGGUGUAGCGGUGAAAUGCGCAGAUAUCAGGAGGAACACCGGUGGCGAAGGCGCCACUCUGGGCCGGUACUGACGCUGAGGAGCGAAAGCGUGGGGAGCAAACAGG
rnacentral:rRNA from 1 species